rnacentral:misc_RNA from 1 species
AACGCACAUUGCGCCCUCUGGUAUUCCGGGGGGCAUGCCUGUCCGAGCGUCAUUGCGAACCCUCAAGCACGGCUUGUGUGUUGGGCCGCCGUCCCCCCGUUGCAGGGGGGGGGACGGGCCUGAAAGGCAGCGGCGGCGUCGCGUCCGGUCCUCGAGCGUAUGGGGCUCUGUCACGCGCUCAAGGAGGGGUCCGGCCGGGGCCAUAGCCUCAAAGGUCAGACUUUUUUCCAAGGUUGACCUCGGAUCAGGUAGGAGUACCCGCUGAACUUAA